rnacentral:rRNA from 1 species
GACAGAGGGGGCAAGCGUUGCUCGGAAUUACUGGGCGUAAAGGGCGCGUAGGCGGGCUGGCAAGUCGGUCGUGAAAUCCCUCGGCUCAACCGAGGAUCGUCGAUCGAUACUGCCGUUCUUGAGGAUUGCAGAGGAGACUGGAAUUCCCGGUGUAGCGGUGAAAUGUGUAGAGAUCGGGAGGAACACCGGUGGCGAAGGCGGGUCUCUGGGCAAUUCCUGACGCUGAGGCGCGAAAGCGUGGGGAGCAAACGGG